rnacentral:tRNA from 1 species
GGAGAGAGGGCUCAGUGGUUAAGAGCACUGACUGCUCUUCCAGAGGUCCUGAGUUCAAUUCUUUUUUUUUUUU